ensembl:lncRNA
CCGGGUCAGUAGAAUAGAUCAGGCGAUCGUGAAUGAGAAAAUAGACUACCUAGAAAUGGAGAUAGAUCAACGUCGCUGUCCUUGGAUGAAGGAAGAUAACGGAAGUAGAUGCUGAGUUCGAAUCAAGCAGCACGUUGAACAAAGUUGGUGAAGACGAAUGAUCCGAAUGGACAACAGUAGUAUCGAAAACUGGAACAAAAAGGAAAUUGAUAAGUUUAUGAAUGAUAAUGAAUCGCUUCUUGUUGGGAUGCGUUUGUUGGGUAAGAAUGCAUAUGUGAGAGGCCCGUUUGAGGUGUCAAAUGGUGAAGUAUGCGCUGGGAAAAGUGGAGUCUGUCAGUGAUUAGGAGCGGUCUUAUUUUGAUUAAUUGUAUUUAUGAAGAAUAUAGGAAGAUUGCAGUGAGCCUCAAAAGAAUCUGGAAAACAGAAGUUUUGUGUUUUGAACUUCGGAAUAGAGCACCCGUCAACGAAGUCAUCUCAAUCUCGGGAGUGACGACAGAUGUUCAGGUCAGAAUUGUAAAGGAUUUGGCCAUGUUUCAAGUAUGUGGAGAUGGACAGAGUCUACUGAAGAACGGUGUGUAGAAGGACAACAGUGUUGCAAUUGUGGUGAAGAUCAUGAUUCCGAGUUCCUGGAGUGCCCUGUAAGGGUGAAGGAGAUUGAGGUGGCAAAAGUUAGAGGGGUCAAUCGAAUCUCGUAUGCGGAGCUGAUUAAAAGAAUUGAGAAAACAAGUGAUGCUAUUGAAGAUAUGGUAGUGGACUCACCACAGCCUAUAGUAAAUGUUUACUGCCAGUCAAAAGAUACCCUUUGUGUUAAAAAGGUGGAUUUUGUGGGGUUCAUUGUCACAGUUAUGAACUGACCGGCACAAGUCUCAAAGAAUUCUACGAAACUGGACAUAAUAUUGUGGCUGCGGUAGAAGCGUUUUUGGGACUUAAGGAUUUUACAUCUGAAGACUUGCCAGGGGUACUGCUGCUGGAAGACCCGCCCUCCCAGGCUCCCCUUGAGCCUGUGUAGGGAUCAGAUCUGUUUUAUUUGUUAUUAUUAUGAAUUGUUAUAUAUAUUUUUUUAAAUAUAUUUUACCCCCUUUUUCGUGAUAUCCAAUUGGUAGUUACGAUCUUGUCUCA